rnacentral:rRNA from 1 species
AUUGAACGCUGGCGGCAGGCCUAACACAUGCCAGUCGAGCGGAUGAAGGGAGCUUGCUCCUGGAUUCAGCGGCGGACGGGUGAGUAAUGCCUAGGAAUCUGCCUGGUAGUGGGGGAUAACGUCCGGAAACGGGCGCUAAUACCGCAUACGUCCUGAGGGAGAAAGUGGGGGAUCUUCGGACCUCACGCUAUCAGAUGAGCCUAGGUCGGAUUAGCUAGUUGGUGGGGUAAAGGCCUACCAAGGCGACGAUCCGUAACUGGUCUGAGAGGAUGAUCAGUCACACUGGAACUGAGACGCGGUCCAGACUCCUACGGGAGGCAGCAGUGGGGAAUAUUGGACAAUGGGCGAAAGCCUGAUCCAGCCAUGCCGCGUGUGUGAAGAAGGUCUUCGGAUUGUAAAGCACUUUAAGUUGGGAGGAAGGGCAGUAAGUUAAUACCUUGCUGUUUUGACGGUACCGACAGAAUAAGCACCGGCUAACUUCGUG